UUUCCGUAGGUGAACCUGCGGAAGGAUCAUUAUCAUGUAAUUCAGUCCCCUUGGCUGUGUUAUAUAUAUACCCACUCUGUGUACCUUCUCCUGUUGCUUCCGCUGGGUGUGUAAUUCGCCCGGCGGAAGGGUAAAAAUAACCUCUGAGUAUUGAUGAAAUCCCUGUCUGAACCGAAUAGAAAGAAAAAUGUUAAAACUUUCAGCAACGGAUCUCUUGGUUCUC
rnacentral:misc_RNA from 1 species